rnacentral:rRNA from 1 species
UACGGGGGGAGCAAGCGUUGUUCGGAUUUACUGGGCGUAAAGGGCGCGUAGGCGGCCACCGCAAGUCGACUGUGAAAUCUCCGGGCUUAACCCGGAAAGGUCAGCCGAUACUGCGGGGCUAGAGUGCAGAAGGGGCAACUGGAAUUCUCGGAGUAGCGGUGAAAUGCGUAGAUAUCGAGAGGAACACCUGCGGCGAAGGCGGGUUGCUGGGCUGACACUGACGCUGAUGCGCGAAAGCUAGGGGAGCGAACGGG